GGUCAGUCCAGGUGGUCAGGGUGUUGGACUCUCAGCCCAAAAGUCCUGGGUUCGAACCCCAAUCUCCACCCA